GUCUUCAUUGCCCCUCCUCCGAUGUACGAAGGACAAGGUCAAGAUCUUUUCAGUCUGUAUGGUCUUCUUGCCCAGUGAACUAGGUGACAAGCUGGUGAUUCAGGGGUCGUCAAAUUCUUGGUUCAUCGGAUGUUACCAAAAUGAACUUAGUCUUGGCUAAUAAAUGCAGUGUGACCCACAUAAAAGAAAAUAUAAAGUUGAGAACCAGUACCACCAACUCUGAAGCCCUUGGAAUUUUCUGGGAGUUCUCUUCAUCCUUCUCACACAAGCCUCCGUCUGCCUCCUCAUCCUCUGCUAGGCUCCUUCUUCUGUCUCAAUCUGGCAACUACAAGGCUUGUAGUUCUGUGAGGUGCAGCCCAACAAUUGACGAGCCAGCCAGGAGGCCAAAGAGACCCCCAUGAGCACCAAGACGUCAGGAAAUAAGAACGGGGAAUGGAAAGUUGCAGGGGGAACCCCGGUUUGGCUGUCCACUAGUAAGUGGGGCCCUGUGGUGGCUGUCCUUGAGGAAGGGGUGUCGGCAAGAGAGUCCAGAGGGUCAUGGCCCAUCCAAAUUGGGCUCCCAAGGUGUGGGACCUACUGAGAGCACUGAAGAAGGGGAAGAUUGGGAUGAGGUCAUAAAGGUCCUUAUCCCACAGAAUAGAGAUGAAGAGCGGCUCCCUUCAGAGCAGAGGCAGCUGACUACCAUGAGAGAUGUCUUUCUCUUCCACCAUAUUGAUGAUAUCCUGUUAACCUCAGAGUUUCUUUCUAGUAUUAAAAGCAGCCCUGCACUUGUGGCUUGUCUGAUUGCACGGGGCUGGCUGGUGAAUACAGACAAAAUGCAAGGACCUGGAUUAUCUAUCAAAUACUUGGGUGUUAUCUGGUCAGGUAAGACAAGCAUAACCUAAACCAUUACAGACACAGGCAUUAGGGAUAUUAACGCAGGGCCAGGCUUGUGAAUUGGAUGUGGUCAGUUAACCAGAAAGGUUUGGUUUGGGCCUGUGGCAAUGGCAAAGUGAUGAAAGAGUACCCUUGGGCUUCUGCUCUGAGCUGUGGGAGGAGGAAGAGUAAGGAUUGCGUGAUCGAGCGGCAGCUGCAUGUGGGCUACAGUGUUACAACAGGUGGAAGACAUUACAAAAGGCCCACCCAAGUCAUCCAGCAACUCAAUAAAACCACUAGCUGGGGAUCUAUAACAGCUGUGCGUGAUGUAUGGGCUCCCCAUGUACUUCAAUAGCCACCAAGGAACCCACUUUACCAGCCAGGAGGUUCAGGCAUGGAAUGGUAAAAGUGACACACUGGCCUUUCCACCUGCCCAAAACCCCCCUGCUGCCGGGCUAGCAGAAAGGGUGAGUGGGCUACUUAAACAACCAUUGAGAUGGAAACCUGCUCUCUCCACGUGUGGACGGGGAAGCUAACUCAAACCUUGUGAGCUAUAACUGAAGAAGCCAGUGGCUAUGCCAUGUUAACCCAGAGGCAACUAGGCAAUGGUCAACUAUCGGUCAGGACAAUGAUUCACUUUCACCCUUGCUGCAGGAUAUACACCACUCCCCAUCCCUCCCACAGCCCCCCACCGGGGGAACACACUAUAAAAUGGCCCUGGGAUUGGCAGGUAAAGCCCCGGUGGUUUGGGUUUGCUGAAUAGGGUUAGAAAGGGACUUACAGAUCUCACCUGGCUUCUACCUGGCUACACCCAAAACUACUAUAGUAAUCUGGGCCCCUUACUGGAGAGAGGUACCGUCAUAUUAACACUGUGGUCUGUUUACAUAUGUGGUCUCCAAUCCUCGGCCCUGGCUGUGGAGACUGAGGGUGGACAGGUGGUGUGGCUCUGCAGGCCAGGACAAAACCACAGGCAGGGGUGGUAUUUUCUCAGAAUGCUGUUACUGCUUGUAAUUGGCUUAAUGGUCAUGAUCUCCCCUGUAUUGUGCCUGUCCAGCAACUCACAUUUCAUCCCUAGUCUGUCUGAGGACAAGGUGACAACUGUGGUCUCACUGCAAAGUGAGUCUGAUUGCUGGAUGAGCAGUAAGAUGCCAUGAAAAAUCGACCCAGCUAAUGUGACUACGUGGGGACGACUGAAGACUCUCCUCUUUCCUGUCCCGCAUGCCAGGCGCCUGGCUCCAGAAUUUUCCCACCUCUUGGAGAAUCACUAUUUUU